rnacentral:rRNA from 1 species
GUCUACAGCCAUACCACCCUGAAUGUGCCUGAUCUUGUCUGAUCUCAAAAGUUAAGCAGGGUUGGGCCUGGUUAGUACUUGCAAGGGAGACAAAUACUAAAAUAGUAGCAUUUACCC